AAAACAAAGCAUCGCGAAGGCCAC
rnacentral:miRNA from 1 species